CAGAGCAAACAGUUCUCACCAGUGAGCGACCCAAACACAGCAGUGAGCUACCGAACCGAACAGUGAGCAAGCCGCAUAGGACAGUGAGCGAACCGAACGAAUCAGCCGAACCAGCUACUACUCAACCAGAACAGCAACAGACAACCCUAUCAACACCAAGAACGGCAACAGCUACAACUAGACAACAGCACAGGGAAACCCGUGCAGGUUGGCUCCCCCUACCAACCGUGACGAGGUGAGAGGCCACAGCGAAUGAAGAGGGGUUCCCUCCUGCUGAGUUGGCUCAAGCAGAGAACCAUGCAGGACGAUGCAGCAGUUCCAAAAGUUUCAGAAAAUGAUGGUUCUGUUUUGGUCGUGCAAUCCUUUUAUGAAUUUUCCCCCUCAACAAUUCCUGUCAGACUCUUGUUACCAUGGUGACAUCCUCUGCUCCUCCUCUGACCUCUAAUUGGCUGCUGAGGUGGGGCGUGACUCUCUGCUUUGCUCAUCAAAACACACCUGCAGGAGACAAGACACAGGCUGAUGUCAUCACAUGCACACACUGCUGCUACUCCACUCGUCCCACCAAGGAGCUGUAUUGCUGGGCCCACCAACUCUCUGAAGACACUAAUAAUUUCACUCUAACUGCAUGUGGCUAUUAGCGCUGAUCUUUCUGAAUUGGAAGGUUAUUGCAAAUGUAUAUAUUUUACAUAAUUUAAAUAAGUUAAAGUAGCCCAGGAGCAACAAGCUUUUUGCUUAGCAGCGUAGUUAGGGGGGCUAAGCAAGGGCUGUGAGGAUUAGAUAUUUUCUUUUUGUCUUAUUUGUGCAGGUUUAGCAGCCGCAAAAGCCGUGCAAUCCUUUUGUGAAUUUGCCCCUUAAUAUUAACAGUCAGAAUCUGGUUACCAUGGUGAUAUCCUCUGGUCCUCCUCUGACCUCUGAUUGGCUGCUGAAGCAGGGCGUGUGUCUAUGCUCUGCUCUUCAAAACACACCUGCAGGAGACAAGACACAGGAUGACAUCAUCAUCAUCAUCAUCAUCACACACACACACACACACACACACACACACACACACACACACACACACUGCAGGACGAUGUAAUCACCUGUAUGUUUCCCUUUCUUCCAGUCUUGAGCUGUGAUUGGUCACUUUGCUGACUUGGCUUCAGGUGUGUGUGGCUGGUCUUGGGAGCAGGGCUAAGUGUGACGGACAGGUCGAGUUCAGGACAUCGAGUCAGAGAGACGGAGUAGGGGAGAGGGAGAGGGAGAGGGAGAGGGAGGGGAGAGGGAGAGGGAGAGGGCGAAGUAGAGAGGAGGGAGGAGGAACUCAUCCUGACAGGAAACAUUAAGUGAAACAUUGAUUUUAAGUGGAAUGCUCCUUUAAAGAACAUGUUUGUGCUGAUAAAUCACAAAUUAGUCUCUGCUGUAAACAUCAUCCUCACAGCAUCAUAAACAAUAACACAAACACCUUUUAUCGAUUUUUCUAGGAAAGAAUAUGAUAUACAGCACCAGAUUGCAAAUCACACACACACACAAAAUAUAAUAUUACAGCAAAAUGGAAGUAGAAAACUUUUUUUCCCCCCCAUGCAUUCUUGGGAUACACACUGUCUGUUACCUGUGCAUAGGACAAUAAAUAUCUGGAAUCUUACAUAUUCUAUUACAGCUUCUCCUAUACGUCAGAUUUUGUGUUUUUUCCAUUGUAUAUAGAUCAGUUAAUUGAUUAUCUUUGGGUUUUGGACUGUUUGUCAAACAAGACAAGACAUUUGACCUUGGACUCUGUGAGACUGGGGUGGACAUUUUUAUGAUGUUAAAAGUAUAUUUUACACCCUGGUUACUGCCCUAGACAUAGAGUAUAAUGUCCUCAUCAGAUGUAGGGAACGUUUUCCCAUGUUGUGUUACUUUACAGUGAUAUUGCCAGCAUGUCCAUAUUAUUUUAUUGUGUUAUUGACAGAAUUGUACUGUGUAUGGCACUAAGAUCUUUUACUUAGGUAAUACCACAAUGUAGAAAUACUCUGUUACAAUAAAAAAGUCCUGCAUUUAAAAACUUAAGUAAAGAAGUAUUAGCCUCAAAAUAACCUUCAAGUAAAAGCACAUUAAUUGUUAAUCAAGUGUUCAUGGCGUUGUUGUCGUUGCAGCCAGUAAAGGUGUGGAUAAUUAAUUGGCCUACUGUAUACAGCAAUAAUAAUAUCUCAUAAUCUUAUAGUUGAUUUAUAUUUUGUAUUAAUAAUCUGAAUCUGCAAAGUAACUAAAGGUAUCAUUCAAAAAGGUAGUAAAGUAAAAAGUAGAAUGUAUUAGCAUUAAAUGGAAAUAUUCAGGUAAAUUACAAGCACCUCAAGAUUGUACUUAAGUACAGUAUUUAAGUAAACGUAGGCUACUCAGUUAUUUUUCAUCACGGGUGCCUGGAGAUUCACAUUACGUUAUUUUGUAUCGUACUAUUUAGGUGUAUUAGGCGAAGUCAGUUAGGUUGUUAGCUUGUAUCUGUUAGUUAACAGUUCAAACUAGUUUUAGGUUUCUAGAGUAACACUGUAUUAACUGUACUGUUAUCUUGAUAGUUAGCUAAUUCAACCAGUAGUUAACCUGUUAACGCUUGAAUACAGUCGAGCUAGGUAAAUUAGUGAAUUUAGGCAGUUCACUUUCCGAUAAAAUUCCGGUUGCUAACAGUUUCGAAUGAUUUAAUCCUGAAAAAGUCAUGUGUUGAAUAAAUUAACAUUUUGUCUGUUUGGUUUUGA